GACGAACGCUGGCGGCGUGCUUAACACAUGCAAGUCGAACGGAAAGGCCCUGCUUGCAGGGUACUCGAGUGGCGAACGGGUGAGUAACACGUGGGUGAUCUGCCCUGCACUUCGGGAUAAGCCUGGGUAACUGGGUCUAAUACCGGAUAGGAGCCAUUUUUAGUGUGAUGGUUGGAAAGUUUUUUUGGUGUAGGAUGAGCUCGCGGCCUAUCAGCUUGUUGGUGGGGUAAUGGCUUACCAAGGCGGCGGCGGGUAGCCGGCCUUGGAGGGCGGACGGCCACAUUGAGACUGAGAUUCGGCCCAGGCUCCUACGGGAAGCAGCAGUGGGAGAUAUUGCACAAUGGGCGCAAGCCUGAUGCAGCGACGCCGCGUGGGGGAUGACGGCCUUCGGGUUGUAAACUCCUUUCGCUAGGGACGAAGCUUUUUGUGACGGUACCUAGAGAAGAAGCACCGGCUAACUACGUG
rnacentral:rRNA from 1 species